CUGUCUUCGGAUGAAGUGAUGCUUGUCUUUCCUAACCUUCCGCAGCUCAUUGCUAUCCACAACUCCCUGCUGGUAUCCUUGAAGCAGGUACUUCUAAGUGGACCUAUGGUCAAAGAAAUCGGUGGAAUCUUACUAUCCCACUUUGAAAGAGCUGCAGAUGACAUUGUGAAAGAAACAGUGAAGUAUUGCUGUAACCAGAGAUCUGCACUUGAACUGAUUAAGACCAAAAAGCGCAAGA